rnacentral:rRNA from 1 species
GAGUUUGAUCCUGGCUCAGAACGAGCGCUGGCGGCAGGCCUAACACAUGCAAGUCGAACGCCCGUAGCAAUACGGGAGUGGCAGACGGGUGAGUAACGCGUGGGAACAUACCCUCCGGUUCGGAAUAGCUCAGGGAAACUUGGAUUAAUACCGGAUACGGCUGAGAGGCGAAAGAUUUAUCGCCGGAGGAUUGGCCCGCGUUCGAUUAGCUAGUUGGUGAGGUAAUGGCUCACCAAGGCGAUGAUCGAUAGCUGGUCUGAGAGGAUGAUCAGCCACAUUGGGACUGAGACACGGCCCAAACUCCUACGGGAGGCAGCAGUGGGGAAUAUUGGACAAUGGGCGCAAGCCUGAUCCAGCCAUGCCGCGUGAGUGAUGACGGCCUUAGGGUUGUAAAGCUCUUUCGCUCGGGACGAUAAUGACGGUACCGAGAUAAGAAGCCCCGGCUAACUUCGUGCCAGCAGCCGCGGUAAUACGAAGGGGGCUAGCGUUGUUCGGAAUUACUGGGCGUAAAGCGCGUGUAGGCGGGUCUUUAAGUCAGGGGUGAAAUGCCAAGGCUCAACCUUGGAACUGCCUUUGAUACUGAAGACCUUGAGUCCGAGAGAGGUGAGUGGAAUUGCGAGUGUAGAGGUGAAAUUCGUAGAUAUUCGCAAGAACACCAGUGGCGAAAGCGGCUCACUGGCUCGGAACUGACGCUGAGACGCGAAAGCGUGGGGAGCAAACAGGAUUAGAUACCCUGGUAGUCCACGCUGUAAACGAUGGAUGCUAGCCGUUGGGGAGCUUGCUCUUCAGUGGCGCAGCUAACGCUUUAAGCAUCCCGCCUGGGGGAGUACGGUCGCAAGAUUAAAACUCAAAGAAUUGACGGGGGCCGCACAGCGGUGGAGCAUGUGGUUUAUUCGUAGCAACGCGCAAACCAUACCAGCUUUGGACAUGUCUGGAACGGGAUUGCAGAGAUGCGAUC